rnacentral:misc_RNA from 1 species
UUUUAGGGAAGAAUAACUGGUCGUCGUGGCCCUGAUCGCCCUCGUGUCCGUGGCCUUCGCGAUGCCAGGCUACGGAGGCUACGUCAGGCCGUCCUACCACGGCUCAUCCCACGGCUUCCACGGCUCAUCCCUCGGCUUCCACGGCUCCUCCCACGGCUCCCACGGCUCCUACGGCUCCGUCGGCUACGGCCGACCCUCCUACGGAUACAACAGGCCUUACGGACAUCACGGGUGAGGCAGCGGACGCGGACGCCAGACCGAGGGAGGCGCUGGCGAUUCCUCAAGAGCAGCAGGACGAUUCUGACAGGAAUCAAGGAAGCUUAAGAAGAGCGAUGGAAACAUCUGGCAUGAUUGGCGGCUGUUAAUGCGUUGUUUAAUAUAUUAUUGUUUUGUAUGUGUGUGUGUUUGUUAUUUUUUAAAGAAAAUACUGAAUUAGGUAAUUCUGUUAUCCAAGGAAAUUUACCAAAGUGACGAUGCUUCCUAAUAAAGAAGUAGAAAGAU